rnacentral:rRNA from 1 species
GCUAAACGCGAAGAACCUUACCAGGUCUUGACAUCCUCUGACAACCCUAGAGAUAGGGCUUCUCCUUCGGGAGCAGAGUGACAGGUGGUGCAUGGUUGUCGUCAGCUCGUGUCGUGAGAUGUUGGGUUAAGUCCCGCAACGAGCGCAACCCUUGAUCUUAGUUGCCAUCAUUAAGUUGGGCACUCUAAGGUGACUGCCGGUGACAAACCGGAGGAAGGUGGGGAUGACGUCAAAUCAUCAUGCCCCUUAUGACCUGGGCUACACACGUGCUACAAUGGACGGUACAAAGAGCUGCAAGACCGCGAGGUGGAGCUAAUCUCAUAAAACCGUUCUCAGUUCGGAUUGUAGGCUGCAACUCGCCUACAUGAAGCUGGAAUCGCUAGUAAUCGCGGAUCAGCAUGCCGCGGUGAAUACGUUCCCGGGUCUUGUACACACCG